AAGAAGAAGAGGAAGCGAGAAACUGUGAAGCAAAUAAAAUGUCGUGCUAAGAUGGUGGUGAAGCUUAAAGAUGACAAAUGGGGGGUUAUCACUUUUAUUGCGGAUCACAACCAUCCAUUGAUUGACAAGCCAUCACUUUCGAAAUACCUCUGUUCUCACCAAGGCAUCCCAUCGGAAGAGAAAAAAUUUCUGACUCACCUAAAUGACUACAACUUGAUAGCAGGUAAGAUGAUGAUGAUAAUGUCAUCAUACUAUGGCUCAGAGUUGAUUGUUCUAUACAUAGCUAAAACCAUCCAUAACCACUGUUCGAAGGCCCAUGCCCCAACUAAGGACAUUGACAUUGAAGAAACACUAAACUACUUUUGCAAGGUGAUGGAAAACGACCCAGGAUUCUUCUUUAAAUGCAAGACAGAUGCAAAAGGCAGGACAAAAAACUUGUUUUGGGUGGAUGGUGCGGCACAGAAAGCAUACACGAAGGCUUAUCAUGAUUGCAUAUCAUUUGAUGCAACUUAUCUCACGAACAUGUACAGUAUGCCGUUUGCCCCCUUCAUUGGCAUCAACAAACAUGGGCAGUCAAUUAUGCUUGGAUGUGGAUUUGUCCGGCAGGAACUAGCCUCAAGUUAUGGCUGGUUGUUUGAUGCUUUCCUAGAAGCAAUGGAUGGUUUGGCUCCGGACAACAUCAUCACGGACCAAGAUGUUGCUAUGGCACAAUCUAUCAAGAGGAAGUUCCCGGCAACGAUUCACCGUUGCUGCCGUUGGCAUAUAAUGAAGAAAGCACAAAAGAAGCUUGGGUCUAUGUUGCCUAGGAACCCGGAUUUGGUAAGACUUCAAUGA
rnacentral:rRNA from 1 species